CUGGUGGCGCUGUAUCCUAGUCGGAACCGACGAUUACCAGGAAGGGCCUAAAAAUCCUUUGAAGGGCAUAUCGGUGAAGUCCCUGGUGCUUGCUUGUUUCGCCCAGAUUCGGGUGGGUGCUGGGGGUUAAGGUUUCCGGGCGGCCAUCAAUGGCAUGGUGGUUACGACCCAGUUACCGUGGAGACCUGUUUUCGUGCGGCCGCCGCACAUACCCGUGGACAAGGACGGCGUACGGGACAGGAGAUGAACCUGCAUUGCGGUGCGAUUCGCGUGCUGUGUGCAGUGUAGCCUGCCUUGCGUGGAUACGAUGGGGAAAGAGGAGUCACGCGCACUUACCUGUGGCCACAGGCAAAGACGAUAUUCUCUGGAAACCGUAUCUGCAAAAGAGGCUAAGAAUCGACGGCAUCCGGCGUGGAAAACACCUAGGCAGUCAUGAUUGGAUAUGCGGAGGAUUAAAGUGCGGACUCAGUGGCAAUCGGGUAUUGUGCACUGGCAACGGCACAGCGCAGGCAUGAAAAGGGAACUGCCCGUUCCGGCGACGGCGGGUUGCCCGCGGGGAAAGCCAACCCGACCUAAGCCGCAAGAUUUACUCCGGGUAUCGCCACCAUUUUUGAAU
rnacentral:sRNA from 1 species